rfam:Homo sapiens chromosome 5, GRCh38 reference primary assembly.
GCCGGGUGCGGUGGCUCACACCUGUAAUCCCAGCACUUUGGGAGGCCAAGACGGGUGGAUCACCUGAGGUUGGGAGUUCUAGACCAGCCUGACCAACAUGGAGAAACCCCGUCUCUU